AAACACAUGAGCUAGCCGCCAAGCCAACGGCCGCCAAAAAAAUAAACAAACAACUGUGUUGAACAAAGAAUUAAGCAGAUUAAUUUUAACUAUCAUAUAAACAAUACACAAUUUAAGCUUGUUAAUCUAGCAUGCAAGAAAUAAUAUCAAGCAAAAACUAAAUAAUUAAAGCAAGCAAGGAAGAAACAAUAUCAACCCUGAACAUAAACUUUUCUCCAUACAAGAAACAAUAUCUCAUAUGAAAAGAAACAGCACCCAACAGUGUGAACAAUACUCACUGAAAAGAGUCCCUUACCUGCAAUAUAAAAUAAAUAUAUUAGUACAUAUUAAUAUAAAUAAACCUAACUACAUCUUAACCAAACAAUCUUAAAUAAUACCAAUACAUAUUAAGGAAAAUAAAAUAAAAAUAAUCCAAAUUUUAGUAUGGAAGAAAUAAUAUUAACCAUAAACUAAAAAAAAAAAACAAAGGAAGUAUGGUAGAAACAUGAAAUUCAACCAUAUCUAAUCCUUUAACUCCACUUGAGAAAUUCAUCUCAAAUGACAAGUUAACCUAUCUAAAUUAAAUGAGCAACCCUUCUUUUAAAAUAUAACCUAACUGCCUUGUACCUUCACAAUUGAGAUGUAACCCACCAUCUUUAUACGCAAAUAGCUACACCUUUGGCUUUCCACAUUUCAAAAAAUAUCUAUACGAAUGAAUGAAUUCGACUUCAUAACUCAAACAUAAAUUUAACAAAGCCAUAUUAACAUCCUUUAUCUUCUGACCCGUUUCCUCAAAAUCAACAGGACGAGGAAGAAUACCAGACAAAGCAAUAACCAUAGAAGGAAACAACAACUUGGCGGUAGAAAUUAAAUUACAAUAGGCAGAC
rnacentral:lncRNA from 1 species